rnacentral:lncRNA from 1 species
ACAAUUCCAUCUCCCGCAUCACCCACCAAAAUCGGUGUUCUCUCCCUCAACCUCAACCUGGAUCGAUCAUCUCAUCCACUUGAUUAUGAUCCCUAUUCCAGACGGUUGUCUCCUCCGAUCGGUUCCCACCACUACACCGCCGAUGAGGCGCGGUUGAGUGACUGAUGAACCGCCACUGCAGCACAAACGACCCACAAGCAACCCGUCAUCACUGCUCGACUCCAUGUUGUUUCAAUCCUCACUACAGCGGUAAUUCCUCCUUUACAAGGUCAAGGAAUGGGGAGAAUGAUUUUUAAAGGAUCAUAAGGUUGUAAUUCUUCAGUGACAUGUCAUCCUCAAGAUUUAGCUAAAGGCGAAUGUAGAAAAGCUAAUGAAGUUGGCUGGUGUUGUUCGAACCGAUGGGAAGAAUGGGUGAAACUAUGUAGCAAAGGAAAGGAAAAUAAUUGAAAUGAAAACAGAGAAACGACAAAGCAUUAUGAGAUGAUGAUGCUGUUGGAUAUUUAGACAUGAGGAUAGAUCUUCUGUGGCUAGGCUCAAUGUUGUUACAUCUGCUAGUGUGGGCUAUUAGGUCAUGUUUUUGUUUCUUCAUGCAAAUUACAAUACAUAUAUAUUGAUGUCUUGGAGUAAUAAGAGACCAUGACCAGUUAUUUUGUGUGGCAUCCUUCUAAAAAGUUACCCUAGUAGUCUUUUUGAGGUUUAGAAACGAGGGUUGUACGUUAAGAAAAUGUGUAGACUGUAACUUCAGGCAUUCAAUCUUUUCAUUGUUAUUUUUGGUAGAACACUUGUUUAUUUGGUCAGAGGUAUUGGAAAUUUUGAAUAAUGUGAAUGGACAUUAAUUUAGUGAUAAUUAAUGGACUCUUCAUGGUG